UACUCUUUUCUUUUCUUUUUUUUUUUUCGAUUUUUCUUUUCGUCAACAACUUCUCAGUCAUAUUAUGGAAUGCAAUCGUCGUUCGAUGAAAAAUGAACAAUGAAUGGGCUGUUGCUGGUUAUUAACGAGGAUUACGCUCUUGAAACGUUGAUAAACGUUGAAACGUUUAACCGAAUCUGAAUAUUCCCCGAAAGUUUGAAAAGCCUGUCACGCAUUACGUCAGAACUUCCGAAGGUUAAGGCAUUUCUCUUAAAUUGAGUUGGAUAGUUUUCUAACCUAAAAACUUGGCCGGGUUGGAAAACCGCUUUCUAACGGAUUUAACUUCUCGAUCUAAUAUAAAGUUCAGCGUGGACUCGUAUAAAAAAAAAAAAAAAAAAAAAAAAAUAAAUAAAUAAAAA